rnacentral:tRNA from 1 species
CUAAGGUAGUAUACAAGUACAGCUGAUUUCSAUUCAGAAGGGCUUCAUAUAUGGA